GUGUCAGCCGCCGCGGUAAUACGGAGGAUGCAAGCGUUAUCCGGAUUUAUUGGGUUUAAAGGGUGCGUAGGCGGAACAAUAAGUCAGUGGUGAAAGCCUGCAGCUUAACUGUAGAAUUGCCAUUGAUACUGUUGUUCUUGAGUAUAGUUGAAGUGGGCGGAAUGUGUAAUGUAGCGGUGAAAUGCUUAGAUAUUACACAGAACACCAAUUGCGAAGGCAGCUCACUAAGCUGUUACUGACGCUGAGGCACGAAAGCGUGGGGAGCAAACAGGAUUAGAAACCCUCGUAGUCC
rnacentral:rRNA from 1 species